AACUGCGAGUGAAGUGGCAAAAGCUCAAAUUUGAAAUCCGGUACCUCUGGUGCCUGACUUGUAAUUUGGAGAGACAAAUUUGGUUGACGGCGCCGGCCUAGGUUCCUUUGAACAGGACAACGUAGAGGGUGAGAAUCCCGUGCCUGGUUGGAGUGCUGUCGGAUUUGCUAAAUUGUCUUCGACGAGUCGAGUUGUUUGGGAAUGCAGCUCAAAAUGGGUGGUAAAUGUCAUCUAAAGCUAAAUAUUGGCGAGAGACCGAUAGCGCACAAGUAGAGUGAUCGAAAGAUGAAAAGCACUUUGAAAAGAGAGUCAAAAAGUACGUGAAAUUGCUGAAAGGGAAGCGCUUGAGACCAGACUCGAACCGUGGUGAUCAGCCGUGCUUCUGUUCGGUGUCACUCGCCGCGGUUUGGGCCAGCAUCGGUUCUGGCGGUCGGAUAAAAGGUGGAGGAAUGUAGCUUCCUUCGGGGAGUGUUAGUUAGCCCCCACCACAAUGCGGCCAGCCGGGACCGAGGGAUAUAUCGCGCUUCGAUGAAGCCAGGAUGCUGGCGUAAUGGUCUUAAGCGACCCGUCUUGAAACACGGACCAAGGAGUCUAACAUCUAUGCGAGUGUUCGGGUGGAAAACCCUUGCGCGAAAUGAAAGUGAACGGAGGUGGGAACCCGCAAGGGUGCACCAUCGACCGAUCCCGAAGUCUUCGGAAGGAUUUGAGUAGGAGCACAGAUGUUGGGACCCGAAAGAUGGUGAACUAUGCCUGAAUAGGGUGAAGCCAGAGGAAACUCUGGUGGAGGCUCGCAGCGGUUCUGACGUGCAAAUCGAUCGUCAAAUUUGGGUAUAGGGGCGAAAG
rnacentral:rRNA from 1 species